rnacentral:rRNA from 1 species
UGGUGGAGUGAUUUGUCUGGUUAAUUCCGUUAACGAACGAGACCGCUGCCUGCUAAAUAGUCCAGUGAGUGAAUUUCACUGACCAGGACUUCUUAGAGGGACGUGCAUUCUAUUAGACGCAGGAAGAUAGCGGCGAUAACA